AACAAACGCUGGCGGCGUGCCUAAUACAUGCAAGUCGAACGAAGCUGUUUUAACUGGUGCUUGCACCGACUUAAACAACUGAGUGGCGAACGGGUGAGUAACACGUGGGUAACCUGCCCCAAAGCGGGGGAUAACAUUUGGAAACAGAUGCUAAUACCGCAUAACCACAGAAACCACAUGGUUUCUGUGUCAAAGAUGGUUUCGGCUAUCACUUUGGGAUGGACCCGCGGCGUAUUAGCUAGUUGGUAAGGUAAUGGCUUACCAAGGCAAUGAUACGUAGCCGAACUGAGAGGUUGAUCGGCCACAUUGGGACUGAGACACGGCCCAAACUCCUACGGGAGGCAGCAGUAGGGAAUCUUCCACAAUGGACGAAAGUCUGAUGGAGCAACGCCACGUGAGUGAAGAAGGUUUUCGGAUCGUAAAACUCUGUUGUCAGAGAAGAACGUAAGCGAGAGUAACUGCUCGUGCAGUGACGGUAUCUGGCCAGAAAGCCACGGCUAACUACGUGCCAGCCGCCGCAGUAA
rnacentral:rRNA from 1 species